ensembl:lncRNA
UCACAGCUCCUGUACCGGUCUGGCAGCCAGGCCUCAAUGCUCUCACAAGCCACCCAGCAUGCAGACCAUUGCUUAAUCUGCUGUGGAAGCAAAAGGACAGUACAAUUUUAGGCCUCACUGAAAAGAUGUUAGGAGAGCAAAGCAAAAAACCCCUUUGUAGAUAGGUCUGCAAUUAUUGAUGUUGAGCUGAUAAUCAGGCCACAGGCCUCCCUCAGGCCUGUGGGAGAUGGGGGUGCAGCUGGAGGCUUCAGCCCUGGGGCAUUCCAUUGCCCAGUGGUUUUCAGCUUCUUUGGUGUACCUGGGGCCCCCAAAAUCUAGAGGCCUGAGAUUGGGGCAUCCCACAGAAACCCAAUAUUGCCCCACUUGGAAGGGAUUUUAUCAUUUUAUCACAGCAUAAGGAGAGGAUAAAUGUGUGGCAACUGCUGAACCUUUAGGCUCAACCCAUGUCUCUGAAAAUAGGCCUGAGCGCUUCACUGGGGAGAUGCAUUGAAGGAACACAGCCCCUACAGUCCAGAAACAUCAAGCAGGUGGGCAGGGUCUCCAGGAUUGGACCUCCCAGCAGAUCUCAGUAGCUGGAACUGCCUGCUCCCAGGGCCAAGCAAGACCUGAACACUUACACCUGUCAGUGCUACAGUCCUUCAGGAGCAAGAUGUGAUGGUGGUGUGUCAAUGCCUUGUGUGGGACAACACUGGAGAGCUGGCAUCUCUUCCUCCAGCAGAUCUGAAGGUGAUGAAGGAAGGAAGGAAGUGGGCACAGAGAGUGUGACAUGAAAUCCAUGCUGAUGACACCUUGAAGAUCCAUUGUGGCUACAAAGUGUUACUCAGUGGUCCUCUGGCAAAGAAUAGGGAGUUGGAGGGAAGUCUCGGUGAUCAACUUUUUCCAACCUGUCACAGGAUGUAAGAAGAGCAGCAAAUCAAGUAGUUGCAGAUUCCUUCAAUAUCCAGGCACGUGGCCCCUGAGGACAUGAAAAUUCAGAGUGUCAUUUCAUUGGCCCAGAGUUCAUGUAAGGUCUCAGUGAGAUCCACACUUUAUAUUUCAUUCAGAAAAUUUUAUAUUUCACCUAGAAUAUUAACUUCAACAAUCAGAAGAAAGUUGAAAAAUUUCACAGUAAAAAUGAUAAUGAAAACUAUUUUGGGUAAAGCAACAUCAUAAGAAUUGUUAAUUUGUAAUGUUUCUGGUUGAUAUGACAUUUUAAACAGCUCUUUCUACCCACACUUUUAAAGUGAAAAAAAAAA